rnacentral:rRNA from 1 species
UACCAGCACCCCGAGUGGUCGGGACGAUUAUUGGGCCUAAAGCAUCCGUAGCCGGUCCUACAAGUCUUCCGUUAAAUCCACCUGCUUAACAGAUGGGCUGCGGAAGAUACUAUAGGGCUAGGAGGCGGGAGAGGCAAGCGGUACUCAGUGGGUAGGGGUAAAAUCCUCUGAUCCAUUGAGGACCACCAGUGGCGAAGGCGGCUUGCCAGAACGCGCUCGACGGUGAGGGAUGAAAGCUGGGGGAGCAAACCGGG